UGGGUUAUAGCUUAAAAAGCGUCUCGGUUACGUUGAGAAGAUCACUGGUUUUGGUGUGGCCUAA
rnacentral:tRNA from 1 species